UGCCAGCAGGGUUGGUUUCUGGUGAGGGCU
rnacentral:piRNA from 1 species